AGUGAACGCUGGCGGUAGGCCUAACACAUGCAAGUCGAACGGCAGCACAGUAAGAGCUUGCUCUUACGGGUGGCGAGUGGCGGACGGGUGAGGAAUACAUCGGAAUCUACUUUUUCGUGGGGGAUAACGUAGGGAAACUUACGCUAAUACCGCAUACGACCUACGGGUGAAAGCAGGGGAUCUUCGGACCUUGCGCGAAUGAAUGAGCCGAUGUCGGAUUAGCUAGUUGGCGGGGUAAAGGCCCACCAAGGCGACGAUCCGUAGCUGGUCUGAGAGGAUGAUCAGCCACACUGGAACUGAGACACGGUCCAGACUCCUACGGGAGGCAGCAGUGGGGAAUAUUGGACAAUGGGCGCAAGCCUGAUCCAGCCAUACCGCGUGAGUGAAGAAGGCCUUCGGGUUGUAAAGCCCUUUUGUUGGGAAAGAAAAGCAGCAGGUUAAUACCCCGCUGUUCUGACGGUACCCAAAGAAUAAGCACCGGCUAACUUCGUG
rnacentral:rRNA from 1 species